rnacentral:misc_RNA from 1 species
AUGCAUAUCCGGCGAGGGAAAGGCGGAGAGUUGUAGCUGGCCCUAGCAACGUGCACGCUCUCUUCUGGACUUUCGUCGUAUGGGCGUGGGGGGGCGACCCCUCGCGUCUUCAUAUACCUCUUCGUGUAGAAAGUCUUUGAAUGUCAUCAUCAUCAUGGAGUCGCGACUUCCAGGAGACGCGAUUCUUUGAGACAAAAGUUAUUACAACUUUCAGCAACGGAUCUCUUGGCUCUCGCAUCGAUGAAGAACGCAGCGAAUCGCGAUAUGUAAUGUGAAUUGCAGAUCUACAGUGAAUCAUCGAAUCUUUGAACGCACCUUGCGCUCCUCGGUGUUCCGAGGAGCAUGCCUGUUUGAGCGUCAGUAAAUUCUCAACCCCUCUCGAUUUUUU